CGACACUGUGUGUUGUUGGGUAGGGGAGCGUUCUGUAAGCCUGUGAAGGUGUGUCGUGAGGCAUGCUGGAGGUAUCAGAAGUGCGAAUGCUGACAUAAGUAACGAUAAAGCGGGUGAAAAGCCCGCUCGCCGGAAGACCAAGGGUUCCUGUCCAACGUUAAUCGGGGCAGGGUGAGUCGACCCCUAAGGCGAGGCCGAAAGGCGUAGUCGAUGGGAAACGGGUUAAUAUUCCCGUACUUGGUGUUACUGCGAAGGGGGGACGGAGAAGGCUAUGUUGGCCGGGCGACGGUUGUCCCGGUUUAAGCGUGUAGGUGUGUGUUCCAGGUAAAUCCGGUUCACUUUAACACUGAGGCGUGACGACGAGGCACUACGGUGCUGAAGCAACAAAUGCCCUGCUUCCAGGAAAAGCCUCUAAGCAUCAGGUAACAUCAAAUCGUACCCCAAACCGACACAGGUGGUCAGGUAGAGAAUACCAAGGCGCUUGAGAGAACUCGGGUGAAGGAACUAGGCAAAAUGGUGCCGUAACUUCGGGAGAAGGCACGCUGACACGUAGGUGAAGUGAUUUACUCAUGGAGCUGAAGUCAGUCGAAGAUACCAGCUGGCUGCAACUGUUUAUUAAAAACACAGCACUGUGCAAACACGAAAGUGGACGUAUACGGUGUGACGCCUGCCCGGUGCCGGAAGGUUAAUUGAUGGGGUCAGCGCAAGCGAAGCUCCUGAUCGAAGCCCCGGUAAACGGCGGCCGUAACUAUAACGGUCCUAAGGUAGCGAAAUUCCUUGUCGGGUAAGUUCCGACCUGCACGAAUGGCGUAAUGAUGGCCAGGCUGUCUCCACCCGAGACUCAGUGAAAUUGAACUCGCUGUGAAGAUGCAGUGUACCCGCGGCAAGACGGAAAGACCCCGUGAACCUUUACUAUAGCUUGACACUGAACAUUGAGCCUUGAUGUGUAGGAUAGGUGGGAGGCUUUGAAGUGUGGACGCCAGUCUGCAUGGAGCCGACCUUGAAAUACCACCCUUUAAUGUUUGAUGUUCUAACGUGGACCCGUUACCCGGGUUGCGGACAGUGUCUGGUGGGUAGUUUGACUGGGGCGGUCUCCUCCUAAAGAGUAACGGAGGAGCACGAAGGUUGGCUAAUCCUGGUCGGACAUCAGGAGGUUAGUGCAAUGGCAUAAGCCAGCUUGACUGCGAGCGUGACGGCGCGAGCAGGUGCGAAAGCAGGUCAUAGUGAUCCGGUGGUUCUGAAUGGAAGGGCCAUCGCUCAACGGAUAAAAGGUACUCCGGGGAUAACAGGCUGAUACCGCCCAAGAGUUCAUAUCGACGGCGGUGUUUGGCACCUCGAUGUCGGCUCAUCACAUCCUGGGGCUGAAGUAGGUCCCAAGGGUAUGGCUGUUCGCCAUUUAAAGUGGUACGCGAGCUGGGUUUAGAACGUCGUGAGACAGUUCGGUCCCUAUCUGCCGUGGGCGCUGGAGAACUGAGGGGGGCUGCUCCUAGUACGAGAGGACCGGAGUGGACGCAUCACUGGUGUUCGGGUUGUCAUGCCAAUGGCACUGCCCGGUAGCUAAAUGCGGAAGAGAUAAGUGCUGAAAGCAUCUAAGCACGAAACUUGCCCCGAGAUGAGUUCUCCCUGAGACUUAGAGUCUCCUGAAGGAACGUUGAAGACGACGACGUUGAUAGGCCGGGUGUGUAAGCGCAGCGAUGCGUUGAGCUAACCGGUACUAAUGAACCGUGAGGCUUAACCUU
rnacentral:rRNA from 1 species